AACAGGAUUAGAUACCCUGGUAGUCCACGCCGUAAACGAUGUCGACUUGGAGGUUGUGCCCUUGAGGCGUGGCUUCCGGAGCUAACGCGUUAAGUCGACCGCGUGGGGAGUACGGCCGCAAGGUUAAAACUCAAAUGAAUUGACGGGGGCCCGCACAAGCGGUGGAGCAUGUGGUUUAAUUCGAUGCAACGCGAAGAACCUUACCUACUCUUGACAUCCAGAGAACUUUCCAGAGAUGGAUUGGUGCCUUCGGGAACUCUGAGACAGGUGCUGCAUGGCUGUCGUCAGCUCGUGUUGUGAAAUGUUGGGUUAAGUCCCGCAACGAGCGCAACCCUUAUCCUUUGUUGCCAGCGAUUCGGUCGGGAACUCAAAGGAGACUGCCAGUGAUAAACUGGAGGAAGGUGGGGAUGACGUCAAGUCAUCAUGGCCCUUACGAGUAGGGCUACACACGUGCUACAAUGGCAUAUACAAAGAGAAGCGACCUCGCGAGAGCAAGCGGACCUCAUAAAGUAUGUCGUAGUCCGGAUUGGAGUCUGCAACUCGACUCCAUGAAGUCGGAAUCGCUAGUAAUCGUGGAUCAGAAUGCCACGGUGAAUACGUUCCCGGGCCUUGUACACACCGCCCGUCACACCAUGGGAGUGGGUUGCAAAAGAAGUAGGUAGCUUAACCUUCGGGAGGGCGCUUACCACUUUGUGAUUCAUGACUGGGGUGAAGUCGUAACAAGGUAACC
rnacentral:rRNA from 1 species